rnacentral:rRNA from 1 species
UACGAAGGGUGCAAGCGUUACUCGGAAUUACUGGGCGUAAAGCGUGCGUAGGUGGUUCGUUAAGUCUGAUGUGAAAGCCCUGGGCUCAACCUGGGAAUGGCAUUGGAUACUGGCGACCUAGAGUGCGGUAGAGGGGUGUGGAAUUCCCGGUGUAGCAGUGAAAUGCGUAGAUAUCGGGAGGAACAUCUGUGGCGAAGGCGGCAUCCUGGACCGGCAUUGACGCUGAGGCGCGAAAGCCAGGGGAGCAAACGGG